rnacentral:rRNA from 1 species
UACGAAGGGGGCUAGCGUUGCUCGGAAUCACUGGGCGUAAAGCGCACGUAGGCGGAUUGUUAAGUCAGGGGUGAAAUCCUGGAGCUCAACUCCAGAACUGCCUUUGAUACUGGCGAUCUUGAGUCCGGGAGAGGUGAGUGGAACUGCGAGUGUAGAGGUGAAAUUCGUAGAUAUUCGCAAGAACACCAGUGGCGAAGGCGGCUCACUGGCCCGGUACUGACGCUGAGGUGCGAAAACGUGGGGAGCAAACAGGG